UACGGAGGGUGCGAGCGUUGUCCGGAAUCACUGGGCGUAAAGGGCGCGUAGGCGGCGCGGAUAGUCGGCGGUGAAAGCCCGGAGCUCAACUCCGGGUCGGCCGUCGAUACUUCCGGGCUUGAGCACUGUAGAGGCAGAUGGAAUUCCGGGUGUAGCGGUGGAAUGCGUAGAGAUCCGGAAGAACACCGGUGGCGAAGGCGGCCUGCUGGGCUAUGGCUGACACUGAGGCGCGACAGCGUGGGGAGCAAACAGG
rnacentral:rRNA from 1 species